rnacentral:rRNA from 1 species
CCUACGGGGGACAGCAGUAGGGAAUCUUCCGCAAUGGGCGCAAGCCUGAUGGAGCAACACCGCGUGAGUGAAGAAGGGUUUCGGCUCGUAAAGCUCUGUUGUUUGAGAAGAACGAGCGUGAGAGUAACUGUUCACGCAGUGACGGUAUCCAACCAGAAAGUCACGGCUAACUACGGGCCAGCAGCCGCGGUAAUACGUAGGUGGCAAGCGUUGUCCGGAUUUAUUGGGCGUAAAGCGAGCGCAGGCGGUUGCUUAGGUCUGAUGUGAAAGCCUGCGGCUUAACCGAAGACGUGCAUUGGAAACUGGGGAACUUGAGUGCAGAAGAGGACAGUGGAACUCCAUGUGUAGCGGUGGAAUGCGUAGAUAUAUGGAAGAACACCAGUGGCGAAGGCGGCUGUCUGGUCUGCAACUGACGCUGAGGCUCGAAAGCAUGGGUAGCGAACAGGAUUAGAUACCCCAGUAGUC